AGAGUUUGAUCCUGGCUCAGGAUGAACGCUAGCGGGAGGCCUAAUACAUGCAAGUCGUACGGUAAGUUUCAGCAAUGAAGCCUAGAGUGGCGUACGGGUGAGUAACACGUAUGCAAUCUGCCCCUAACUGGAGGACACUAGCCGAAAGGCUGUAAAUACUCCAUAACGUAACUAGAUGGCAUCAUCAUGUUACCAAAGUUUUCGGUUAGGGAUGAGCAUGCGUCUCAUUAGGUAGUUGGUAGGGUAACGGCCUACCAAGCCGACGAUGAGUAGCUGGUCUGAGAGGAUGAUCAGCCACACGGGCACGGGGACACGGGCCCGACUCCUACGGGAGGCAGCAGUGGGGAAUAUUGGGCAAUGGGCGCAAGCCUGACCCAGCCAUGCCGCGUGCGGGAAGAAGGCCCACUGGGUUGUAAACCGCUUUUCUUCAGGGAUAAGACGGUAUUAGAUACCGGUUGAAGGUACUGAGGGAAUAAGCACCGGCAAACUACGUGCCAGCAGCCGCGGUAAUUC
rnacentral:rRNA from 1 species